rnacentral:rRNA from 1 species
GAUGAACGCUGGCGGCGUGCCUAAUACAUGCAGGUCGAACGAAACUUCUUUAUCACCGAGUGCUUGCACUCACCGAUAAAGAGUUGAGUGGCGAACGGGUGAGUAACACGUGGGCAACCUGCCCAAAAGAGGGGGAUAACACUUGGAAACAGGUGCUAAUACCGCAUAACCAUAGUUACCGCAUGGUAACUAUGUAAAAGGUGGCUAUACUACCGCUUUUGGAUGGGCCCGCGGCGCAUUAGCUAGUUGGUAGGGUAAAGGCUUACCAAGGCAAUGAUGCGUAGCCGAAUUGAGAGGUUGAUCGGCCACAUUGGGACUGAGACACGGCCCAAACUCCUACGGGAGGCAGCAGUAGGGAAUCUUCCACAAUGGGCGAAAGCCUGAUGGAGCAACGCCGCGUGGGUGAAGAAGGUAUUCGGAUCGUAAAACCCUGUUGUUAGAGAAGAAAGUUCGUGAGAGUAACUGUUCACGUUUCGACGGUAUCUAACCAGAAAGCCACGGCUAACUACGUG